UAGACCUCGACCAACUGCUCGACAUGUC
rnacentral:piRNA from 1 species